rnacentral:lncRNA from 1 species
CACCGCAGCAUGGUGGGGAGGAAAGGCUUGGGUUUUGCGCGUGCGCAGAGUUGCCUCGCUGUAUCUUUGCGCUCUCGCAGUCUUAACUGGAAAGCCGCACGAGUCCCAGGAAGCGACUUGUGUAGGUUCACAGAGUGAAGUUUGCGCGGCUGGGGUAAGACCGUGGGGAAGCAGCCGGAGGGGAUAGGCUUGUUUCUGGGGGGCGAAAAUGGGAAGUCAGUGGGAAACCCCGCACCGCCAGCGGCCUCCCGGGGCGCAGGGGAUACCGAGUCUUCGUCAGGAGAAGGUUCUCGCUGUGAGCCGAGUGUGCGAAAACCUUGUUCUCUUCCAGGUUGCCGCGCGUCCGGGUAGAAGCCCGAGCCGGAGGAGGGAGAUCAGUGUGUUUCUAACCUUGGAGAGCUUCAGGGCAGAGACUGAAGAGCACAGAAAGGAGCAGGUUCUGAUUUUCUUGGCCAGCAGUGUUUCUUGAUUCCCCUGCCCAGAAUGAACCGGAAUUGUUGUCACCUCCAGAAGCCACCACGGACUCUGACAGUGGGAGGUUUGGGCCAGCUUGGAGAAGAGUGCAGUGAGCUGUGGAGGUCCGGUGUCAGGCUACUCAGGAAACGUAUUUAAUAGGAGAACUUGGUGGAAAAGGUUUGGAGUAAGAGAAAACCAGCCGGAGGUUAGGAAAUUCUGUUUCCACCCAUCCUUAAAGGGUUCCUGUUGCCUUUGUUCUCCACUCUAUGCAAAUUAUGUACUGCUGUGACUUAUGUCCAUUGCCUCAUGUGAUGCUAUUGACAUUAUCCUAAUCUCAGGGAACCUUAGAAUGAUGGUUACUGAAGGGUUUUCAUUGUUUUCUACUUUGGGCUCUUGAAAGCUUUAAAGAUAUUGGGCCUAAUGAGUUUAGUAACUUGUCUAGGGAUAUCCAGUUUGUUUGUGACAGGGCCAGGAGGAGAAUACAGUGCACUUCCCUCUGACUGAUAAUUCAACAGGAAUGUCUUAUGAGAAAGUCCUUUUGGUGUUAAUAAUUGGGUGGUAUAUUCGGGGAGGGGGUGGGGGGAGAGAAGCCUAAUGUAAACUAUGGAUGAUAGUUAAUAGUACUAUUUGAAUAACCCUUCUUCAAUCGUAACAAUGGUACAAUUUGUUUUAUAAACAAAGUUCAGUUAUAAAAAAGUAUUAUCAGUUCCACACCAAUGCAAGGUGUUGGUGGUGGUGUGAUGUGUGGGAAUCCUAUAUUUUAUGCAUGAGUGUUCUGUAAACCCACAACAAGAAUUCUCUAAUAAAAAAAUUAUAUGUCAAAAAAUGCCUUUUGAGAAACUGUUUCACAGAACAAAUAAUUAAAAAUCCUUGCCUUAAAGCAUCCCCAUUUCUUUUACUCUGCUUUCUGUGGACUCUCAAUUUCAAUGGGUAAACAUUGCUGAGAAAAUAGGUAAAUGAUGUACCCCCAGGAAAGAAUAGUGCCUUAUCCUUUGGUGCACUGUAAUUUCUUUGUGUUUAUAUGUUAAAAGGUGUUUUAGUUUGCUAAAGGCUGCCAGUGCAAUAUACCAGAAAUUAUUUGGCUUCUACAAGUGAUUUUUUAAAGUUAUAAGCCGGCAGUUCUGAGGCUGGGAAAAAUAUCUAAAUUAAGGCAUCUGAUGCUCUCUCCCUCCAGGUCAGUUACUGGCAAUCUUGGACUCCUGCCACAUGGCAAGGCACAAUAGGGGCUCUGGUGGUAGUGCCUUCUCCCCCAGGCUCACUUUCUUCCUGAGCUCAGCUGUGGACUUAAAAGCAUAUGGCAUUGUCCGCUUGCUUCUCCCUUCUGCUCCAGGCUCAUUGCUUCAGCUUCUCUGUUCCUCUGUCUAUGGCUUAUCUUUCUCCUGGGUUCCUUGAUUUCAGCUCCUAAAGGCUUCUCUUUUUCACUGCGGUUUUAUUCCUGUGUCUGCAGCUAUUUAUUCCUCCAUUUAAAAAGGACUCCAGUAUGGGGUUUAAGACCCACCCUAGGUCAUGUCCUACUGAAGUGAUCUCUCAUCAAAAAGAAUUUCCCUUAACUGAAUCUAAUCAAAAAGUCCCAUCUACAA